AGAGUUUGAUCCUGGCUCAGAUUGAACGCUGGCGGCAUGCCUAACACAUGCAAGUCGAACGGUAAUAGGUCUUCGGAUAUAGAGACCGGCGCACGGGUGCGUAACGCGUAUGCAAUCUACCUUUUACAGGGGAAUAGCCCAGAGAAAUUUGGAUUAAUGCCCCAUAGUAUUAUGAAAUGGCAUCAUUUUAUAAUUAAAGUCACAACGGUAAAAGAUGAGCAUGCGUCCCAUUAGUUAGUUGGUAAGGUAACGGCUUACCAAGACAAUGAUGGGUAGGGGUCCUGAGAGGGAGAUCCCCCACACUGGUACUGAGACACGGACCAGACUCCUACGGGAGGCAGCAGUGAGGAAUAUUGGACAAUGGGCGCAAGCCUGAUCCAGCCAUGCCGCGUGCAGGAAGAAGGUCCUAUGGAUUGUAAACUGCUUUUAUACAGGAAGAAACACCUCUACGUGUAGAGACUUGACGGUACUGUAUGAAUAAGGACCGGCUAACUCCGUGCCAGCAGCCGCGGUAAUACGGAGGGUCCAAGCGUUAUCCGGAAUCAUUGGGUUUAAAGGGUCCGUAGGCGGUUUGAUAAGUCAGUGGUGAAAGCCCAUCGCUCAACGAUGGAACGGCCAUUGAUACUGUUAAACUUGAAUUAUUAGGAAGUAACUAGAAUAUGUAGUGUAGCGGUGAAAUGCUUAGAGAUUACAUGGAAUACCAAUUGCGAAGGCAGGUUACUACUAAUAUAUUGACGCUGAUGGACGAAAGCGUGGGGAGCGAACAGGAUUAGAUACCCUGGUAGUCC
rnacentral:rRNA from 1 species